CACCAUGUUACUGUAUUUUCUCUGAAGAAAGCAGCUCUGUUAGACAAGCACAUCAGAACCUGCAGUACUUUCAUGAUUAAGAACCUUCCUUUGAUUCGCUAUUGAGAAUGAGAGAACAGGCUGCCUGAAAGGAGAAUGCCCCCACGCUCAACCUCUUGCUUUUGGAAAGAUCUCCUGAUGAUUACCCAGCAGCCAGUGGGACA